rnacentral:rRNA from 1 species
AUAAUGGGUCAGCGACUUAUAUUCUGUAGCAAGGUUAACCGAAUAGGGGAGCCGAAGGGAAACCGAGUCUUAACUGGGCGUUAAGUUGCAGGGUAUAGACCCGAAACCCGGUGAUCUAGCCAUGGGCAGGUUGAAGGUUGGGUAACACUAACUGGAGGACCGAACCGACUAAUGUUGAAAAAUUAGCGGAUGACUUGUGGCUGGGGGUGAAAGGCCAAUCAAACCGGGAGAUAGCUGGUUCUCCCCGAAAGCUAUUUAGGUAGCGCCUCGUGAAUUCAUCUCCGGGGGUAGAGCACUGUUUCGGCAAGGGGGUCAUCCCGACUUACCAACCCGAUGCAAACUGCGAAUACCGGAGAAUGUUAUCACGGGAGACACACGGCGGGUGCUAACGUCCGUCGUGAAGAGGGAAACAACCCAGACCGCCAGCUAAGGUCCCAAAGUCAUGGUUAAGUGGGAAACGAUGUGGGAAGGCCCAGACAGCCAGGAUGUUGGCUUAGAAGCAGCCAUCAUUUAAAGAAAGCGUAAUAGCUCACUGGUCGAGUCGGCCUGCGCGGAAGAUGUAACGGGGCUAAACCAUGCACCGAAGCUGCGGCAGCGACACUGUGUGUUGUUGGGUAGGGGAGCGUUCUGUAAGCCUGCGAAGGUGUGCUGUGAGGCAUGCUGGAGGUAUCAGAAGUGCGAAUGCUGACAUAAGUAACGAUAAAGCGGGUGAAAAGCCCGCUCGCCGGAAGACCAAGGGUUCCUGUCCAACGUUAAUCGGGGCAGGGUGAGUCGACCCCUAAGGCGAGGCCGAAAGGCGUAGUCGAUGGGAAACAGGUUAAUAUUCCUGUACUUGGUGUUACUGCGAAGGGGGGACGGAGAAGGCUAUGUUGGCCGGGCGACGGUUGUCCCGGUUUAAGCGUGUAGGCUGGUUUUCCAGGCAAAUCCGGAAAAUCAAGGCUGAGGCGUGAUGACGAGGCACUACGGUGCUGAAGCAACAAAUGCCCUGCUUCCAGGAAAAGCCUCUAAGCAUCAGGUAACAUCAAAUCGUACCCCAAACCGACACAGGUGGUCAGGUAGAGAAUACCAAGGCGCUUGAGAGAACUCGGGUGAAGGAACUAGGCAAAAUGGUGCCGUAACUUCGGGAGAAGGCACGCUGAUAUGUAGGUGAAGUCCCUCGCGGAUGGAGCUGAAAUCAGUCGAAGAUACCAGCUGGCUGCAACUGUUUAUUAAAAACACAGCACUGUGCAAACACGAAAGUGGACGUAUACGGUGUGACGCCUGCCCGGUGCCGGAAGGUUAAUUGAUGGGGUCAGCGCAAGCGAAGCUCUUGAUCGAAGCCCCGGUAAACGGCGGCCGUAACUAUAACGGUCCUAAGGUAGCGAAAUUCCUUGUCGGGUAAGUUCCGACCUGCACGAAUGGCGUAAUGAUGGCCAGGCUGUCUCCACCCGAGACUCAGUGAAAUUGAACUCGCUGUGAAGAUGCAGUGUACCCGCGGCAAGACGGAAAGACCCCGUGAACCUUUACUAUAGCUUGACACUGAACAUUGAGCCUUGAUGUGUAGGAUAGGUGGGAGGCUUUGAAGUGUGGACGCCAGUCUGCAUGGAGCCGACCUUGAAAUACCACCCUUUAAUGUUUGAUGUUCUAACGUUGACCCGUGAUCCGGGUUGCGGACAGUGUCUGGUGGGUAGUUUGACUGGGGCGGUCUCCUCCUAAAGAGUAACGGAGGAGCACGAAGGUUGGCUAAUCCUGGUCGGACAUCAGGAGGUUAGUGCAAUGGCAUAAGCCAGCUUGACUGCGAGCGUGACGGCGCGAGCAGGUGCGAAAGCAGGUCAUAGUGAUCCGGUGGUUCUGAAUGGAAGGGCCAUCGCUCAACGGAUAAAAGGUACUCCGGGGAUAACAGGCUGAUACCGCCCAAGAGUUCAUAUCGACGGCGGUGUUUGGCACCUCGAUGUCGGCUCAUCACAUCCUGGGGCUGAAGUAGGUCCCAAGGGUAUGGCUGUUCGCCAUUUAAAGUGGUACGCGAGCUGGGUUUAGAACGUCGUGAGACAGUUCGGUCCCUAUCUGCCGUGGGCGCUGGAGAACUGAGGGGGGCUGCUCCUAGUACGAGAGGACCGGAGUGGACGCAUCACUGGUGUUCGGGUUGUCAUGCCAAUGGCACUGCCCGGUAGCUAAAUGCGGAAGAGAUAAGUGCUGAAAGCAUCUAAGCACGAAACUUGCCCCGAGAUGAGUUCUCCCUGACUCCUUGAGAGUCCUGAAGGAACGUUGAAGACGACGACGUUGAUAGGCCGGGUGUGUAAGCGCAGCGAUGCGUUGAGCUAACCGGUACUAAUGAACCGUGAG